CACGGAGUGUUGGGUCCAGGACCUCAAUCUGCUUUCCCUCAGAUCUCAUCUCCAAUACCCAUGGGACAAGUUCUUCUGAUGUGGACAAGAUCGGAACAGGUCGUCUUCCGGAGAAAUGUGUGUAUUUGCCAAAGAAACAAUUUCUGAAGUGUCGCGGUCAAGGUGUAGACAUGGUUUGGAAAAUAACAAGGCCCAAGUGGAGGCAAGAAAAUAAGAAAGGCAGAGAGCUUACGGUGGUGGUGGGUGAGGGUGACCUGGUGCUCUGUUCUUCUUCUUCUUGGCCCGAGGCGUUUACUUUCUGUUAUCCUCUGAGUUUUGGCUGCUUUGUACGUUUACAGCUGUUUUCCGUUCUCCUGGCUCCACAGGUGCAUGGUGGAUAGGGAUGUCAACGGGGCCAAUUCUCGCGGGGAAUGCUUCCCCAUCCCUAUCUCCAUUUAGCUAUCGGAGGAAAGAUUUUUUCCAUCCUCAUCCCCGCGGGGAAUUUGCGGAGAUUAGGUCCCCAAUGGGGAUGUGAAAUUGAAUGAUAUUUGAUUAUUUUUAUAUAUUAAUAAUAUGUACGUUGUAUAAAUAAGUAAUUUAUUGAUGUAUACGAGGGUAAUUAAUACAAGAUUGAUUAAAUAUCGUAGGUUAGAAAAAAAAUAAGAGUAAUUUAUUAUUUACUCUACGUAAUGUUUGUACAUUUAUAUACUAAGAAAAAUAUGUAUAUAUGUGAUAUCGGAGAUAUAGCGGGGAGCGGGGACGGGGAACGCUUUCCCGUCCCCGUUCCCAUAUGAGUUCGCGGGGAAUGAAAUCUUUCCAUCCCCAUCUCCUAAUAGGGGAAUUCCCCGCGGGGAAUCGGGGAUCGGGUCCCCAUUAACAUCCCUAAUGAUGGACUGUGGACUGAAGUGUUUGAUGCUCCUUCAGCUGACCAGAAUACUGAAGUGUUUGAAGUAAACUGGGUAGCGUGUGAUGGCUGGCAAAUUGAAGUAUACUUGGCAGUUGAGACAUCCCAGGAGAGUAUGAUACUCUGGUGCUCGUGUGGACAUGGCCUGCGGAACGGAAGCAGCUGGUUCAGAGCCAACUGGAGAGAAGAAUGAAAAAAAGAUCGGGUAGGAGGCAGGAGCCGCAAGACAAGAUGGGGUAAGGGUGUGUUUAAUUAGUGGAAUGGAUAGAAAUGGUCAAACGAGGCUAUCCGAUUUUUAGGAAUAUUCUUCAAAUAUGCUGAAUGAAAUGAUUAUUUAUUUUGGUUGA